CAGUAGCCGCGGUAAAACAGAGGGUGCAAGCGUUAAUCGGAAUUACUGGGCGUAAAGCGCGCGUAGGUGGUUUGUUAAGUUGGAUGUGAAAUCCCCGGGCUCAACCUGGGAACUGCAUCCAAAACUGGCAAGCUAGAGUAUGGUAGAGGGUGGUGGAAUUUCCUGUGUAGCGGUGAAAUGCGUAGAUAUAGGAAGGAACACCAGUGGCGAAGGCGACCACCUGGACUGAUACUGACACUGAGGUGCGAAAGCGUGGGGAGCAAACAGGAUUAGAUACCCGUGUAGUCCCUGUCUCUUAUAC
rnacentral:rRNA from 1 species